rnacentral:rRNA from 1 species
CCUACGGGAGGCAGCAGUGGGGAAUAUUGCACAAUGGGGGAAACCCUGAUGCAGCGACGCAGCGUGAGUGAAGAAGUAUUUCGGUAUGUAAAGCGCUAUCAGCAGGGAAGAAAAUGACGGUACCUGAUUAAGAAGCCCCGGCUAACUACGUGCCAGCAGUCGAGGUAAUACGUAGGGGGCAAGCGUUAUCCGGAUAUAAUGGGUGAAAAGUGGUCCUAGACGGCAGCGCAAGUCUGGAGUGAAAUGCCGGGGGUUAACCCUGGACCCGCUUUGGAUACUGGGCAGCUAGAGUGCAGUAGAGGUAAGUGGAAUUCCUAGUGUAGCGGUGAAAUGCGUAGAUAUUAGGAAGAACACCAGUGGCGAAGGCGGCUUACUGGACUGUAACUGACGUUGAGGCUCGAAAGCGUGGGGAGCAAACAGGAUUAGAUACCCCAGUAGUC